UUUAAAGUGGCAGAAAAUUUAAUGCGAGGAAUUUAAGCUUCCUUUAUGAA
rnacentral:tRNA from 1 species